rnacentral:rRNA from 1 species
CCUACGGGUGGCAGCAGUGGGGAAUAUUGGGCAAUGGACGCAAGCCUGACCCAGCCACGCCGCGUGCAGGAAGACGGCUUUCUGUUUGUAAACUUCUUUUAAGAGGGAGGAGCAGAAGACGAUACCUCUUUAAUAAGCCACAGCUAACUACUUGCCAGCAGCCGCGGUCAUACGUAGGUGGCAAGCGUUGUCCGGAUUUACUGGGUGUAAAGGGCGUGCAGCCGGGAAGACAAGUCAGAUGUGAAAUCCCGCGGCUCAACCGCGGAACUGCAUUUGAAACUGUUUUUCUUGAGUACCGGAGAGGUCAUCGGAAUUCCUUGUGUAGCGGUGAAAUGCGUAGAUAUAAGGAAGAACACCAGUGGCGAAGGCGGAUGACUGGACGGCAACUGACGGUGAGGCGCGAAAGCGUGGGGAGCAAACAGGAUUAGAUACCCCUGUAGUC